GUGGGGAAUAUUGGACAAUGGGCGCAAGCCUGAUCCAGCAAUGCCGCGUGCAGGAAGAAGGCCUUCGGGUUGUAAACUGCUUUUGUACGGAACGAAACGGUCCUGGUUAAUACCUGGGGCUAAUGACGGUACCGUAAGAAUAAGCACCGGCUAACUACGUGCCAGCAGCCGCGGUAAUACGUAGGGUGCGAGCGUUAAUCGGAAUUACUGGGCGUAAAGCGUGCGCAGGCGGUGCUGUAAGACAGGCGUGAAAUCCCCGGGCUCAACCUGGGAAUUGCGCUUGUGACUGCAGUGCUGGAGGACGGCAGAGGGGGAUGGAAUUCCGCGUGUAGCAGUGAAAUGCGUAGAUAUGCGGAGGAACACCGAUGGCGAAGGCAGUCCCCUGGGCCUGUACUGACGCUCAUGCACGAAAGCGUGGGGAGCAAACAGGAUUAGAUACCCUUGUAGUCC
rnacentral:rRNA from 1 species